UAGGGGCAAUGCAGAAGGUGUACACGUCUCUAAAGGCCAGUGAGAUUGAAGACCUCAUUUCAAUGGUCCUAAAAUUUGCCCCACACAGGCGUUUAAAAUGCUGAGGAAGUGAAGACUUCGAGAAGUUUUACAAUUUUGUUCACCGUAUACGUUUUCAGUUUUGUUCCCCGCACACGUUCACUGUACACAAUGAACUUAUACAUUUUGUUUGUUGUUUAAAAUAAAAGGUUCAGAUCCAA